rnacentral:tRNA from 1 species
UCCCUGAUGGCUCAACUGUAAAGAACCUGCCUGCAAUGCAGGAGAGCCAAGUUGGAAACCUUGGUCAGGAAG